AGCGAGUGAUGGAGCCAAGGAUGACUUGCCAGCAUCGCAGGAAUCUGAAGGGGUUUUGUACGACGUCAUCAUAUGCAGGGGAGAGUUGGCAAGUAUCCUUGGCUACAUAUCUCGGAGU
rnacentral:pre_miRNA from 1 species